AGAGUUUGAUCCUGGCUCAGAGCGAACGCUGGCGGCAGGCCUAACACAUGCAAGUCGAACGAACCUUUCGGGGUUAGUGGCGGACGGGUGAGUAACACGUGGGAACGUGCCUUUAGGUUCGGAAUAACUCAGGGAAACUUGUGCUAAUACCGAAUGUGCCCUUCGGGGGAAAGAUUUAUCGCCUUUAGAGCGGCCCGCGUCUGAUUAGCUAGUUGGUUGAGGUAAUGGCUCACCAAGGCGACGAUCAGUAGCUGGUCUGAGAGGAUGAUCAGCCACAUUGGGGCUGAGACACGGCCCAAACUCCUACGGGAGGCAGCAGUGGGGAAUCUUGCGCAAUGGGCGAAAGCCUGACGCAGCCAUGCCGCGUGAAUGAUGAAGGUCUUAGGAUUGUAAAAUUCUUUCACCGGGGACGAUAAUGACGGUACCCGGAGAAGAAGCCCCGGCUAACUUCGUGCCAGCAGCCGCGGUAAUACGAAGGGGGCUAGCGUUGCUCGGAAUUACUGGGCGUAAAGGGAGCGUAGGCGGACAUUUAAGUCAGGGGUGAAAUCCCGGGGCUCAACCUCGGAAUUGCCUUUGAUACUGGAUGUCUUGAGUAUGAGAGAGGUGUGUGGAACUCCGAGUGUAGAGGUGAAAUUCGUAGAUAUUCGGAAGAACACCAGUGGCGAAGGCGACACACUGGCUCAUUACUGACGCUGAGGCUCGAAAGCGUGGGGAGCAAACAGGAUUAGAUACCCUGGUAGUCCAA
rnacentral:rRNA from 1 species